rnacentral:sRNA from 1 species
AGGACCUUAAAUGGACACAAACGAGGCAUUGCCUGUUUGCAGUACAGGGACAGGCUGGUAGUGAGUGGCUCAUCUGACAACACUAUCAGAUUAUGGGACAUAGAAUGUGGUGCAUGUUUACGAGUGUUAGAAGGCCAUGAGGAAUUGGUGCGUUGUAUUCGAUUUGAUAACAAGAGGAUAGUCAGUGGGGCCUAUGAUGGAAAAAUUAAAGUGUGGGAUCUUGUGGCUGCUUUGGACCCCCGUGCUCCUGCAGGGACACUCUGUCUACGGACCCUUGUGGAGCAUUCCGGAAGAGUUUUUCGACUACAGUUUGAUGAAUUCCAGAUUGUCAGUAGUUCACAUGAUGACACAAUCCUCAUCUGGGACUUCCUAAAUGAUCCAGCUGCCCAAGCUGAACCCCCCCGUUCCCCUUCUCGAACAUACACCUACAUCUCCAGAUAAAUAACCAUACACUGACCUCAUACUUGCCCAGGUAUCGAAAUCGAUUAUGUACAUAACACUGUGGGUAGGAGACGGAAUAUUAGCUGUAAGGUGUUGCUAGUUCAUGGAGCUUUCUCCUGCCGUUUGGGUCACCAACUCCUGUAAAGCCGAGGAAGCAGACAAUGUGAGACAGGGCUGAAGCUGCCACAGUGUGGACAGUGCCUUUCACCAAGGUAGCCAGCCUCAGUUCUAGAUGAUUCUAGGGUCCUACUUGUGUGGUAAGCCUAGUCAUUCCUGCCCUAGUUAUCUAGUAGUACUGUUAUGAAAAUAAAAUGAGAUUUGAAUCAGUUUG